GACGAACGCUGGCGGCGUGCCUAAUACAUGCAAGUCGAACGCAGUGGGGACGGGUGAGUAACACGUGGGUAACCUCCCAUCAGAGGGGAUAACACUUGGAAACAGGUGCUAAACCGAUACUGAUGGAUGGAACCGCGGUGCAUUAGCUAGUUGGUGAGGUAACGGCUAACCAAGGCCACGAUGCCUAGACUACCUGAGUGAGGGAUCGGCCACUCGGGGAUUGGUACACGGCCCAGACGCCUACGGGAGGCAGCAGUAGGGAAUCUUCGGCAAGGGACGAAAGUCUGACCGAGCAACGCCGGGUGAUUGAAGAAGGUUUUCGGAUCGUAAAACUCUGUUGUUAGAGAAGCGGUAUCUAACCAGAAAGCCACGGCUAACUACGUGCCAGCAGCCGCGGUAAUU
rnacentral:rRNA from 1 species